AUUGAACGCUGGCGGCAUGCCUUACACAUGCAAGUCGAACGGCAGCAUGAUCUAGCUUGCUAGAUUGAUGGCGAGUGGCGAACGGGUGAGUAAUACAUCGGAACGUGCCCUGUAGUGGGGGAUAACUAGUCGAAAGAUUAGCUAAUACCGCAUACGACCUGAGGGUGAAAGUGGGGGACCGCAAGGCCUCAUGCUAUAGGAGCGGCCGAUGUCUGAUUAGCUAGUUGGUGAGGUAAAGGCUCACCAAGGCGACGAUCAGUAGCUGGUCUGAGAGGACGAUCAGCCACACUGGGACUGAGACACGGCCCAGACUCCUGCGGGAGGCAGCAGUGGGGAAUUUUGGACAAUGGGCGAAAGCCUGAUCCAGCAAUGCCGCGUGUGUGAAGAAGGCCUUCGGGUUGUAAAGCACUUUUGUCCGGAAAGAAAUGGCUCUGGUUAAUACCUGGGGUCGAUGACGGUACCGGAAGAAUAAGGACCGGCUAACUACGUG
rnacentral:rRNA from 1 species